rnacentral:rRNA from 1 species
GACGAACGCUGGCGGCGCGCUUAACACAUGCAAGUCGAACGGAAAGGCCUGCUUUCCCUUGUGGAUUGCGGGUACUCGAGUGGCGAACUGGUGAGUAACACGUGAGUGAUCUGCCCCCAACUUGGGUAUAAGCCUGGGAAACUGGGUCUAAUUCCCGAUAGGACUGCAGGGUGGUGCCUGUGGUGGAAAACGAUUUUCUAGUGGUUGGGGAUGAGCUCGCGGCCUAUCAGCUUGUUGGUGGGGUAAUGGCCUACCAAGGCGGCGACGGGUAGCCGGCCUGGGAGGGUGGACGGGCACAUUGGGACUGAGAUACGGCCCAGACUCCUACGGGAGGCAGCAGUGGGGAAUAUUGCACAAUGGGCGGAAGCCUGAUGCAGCGACGCCGCGUGGGGGAUGACGGCCUUCGGGUUGUAAACUCCUUUCGACCGCGAGGAAGCCACCUGGUUGGAAGGGUGGUGACGGUAGUGGUAGAAGAAGCACCGGCUAACUACGUG